rnacentral:lncRNA from 1 species
UUUACAACUAUCAAGUAUUACUUAUUACUGUUAAUCGAGCAGAUGUUUUUUUUUUAUCUAACCCAAAUUUCUUUUUAAUCUUGAAUCCAGUUACAUGAUUUAAAAUUUACGUAUUUCGUAUUCUUGACAUUAAGAAUAUUUCCAAAAGAAGUGUGAGGUUGUAACUUUUGCAUCCCAAACUGAAAUCAAUAGUAGGAAAAACCUCUCAAAAUGGAAGAUUAUUCUCUUAGGUGUUGUCGUCCUCCAGGUUUGCUGUCAAUGCAUCAACGAGAAUUUUGUACAAGGUGUUACAGAGUCAGAAGCAGUGAUGAGCAUUUGACAUUCUCACUUUAUGUCUGUGGCUAUUGUGGUGAAAUAUAUCGUCCAGAAGAGAUUAGAAUGGCAUUAAUAUGUACCUCAUGUUUACCUGAGUGUCGUCUUUACCCUAUUCCUCUGCAUCAUUUGAGCAAAACUCAUUGUCAAAAUGGAGUUUGUUGUGAUCACUGUGGGAAUCCUGUAGGUCAUGAUGAACAGCUUGACAUUAUCUUUUAAAUUAUAUUUUUGUAAUGGUAAGGAUGAUAUUCUAUGGAAUAUUGUAAUUAUAUUUUAUUUAUCUGGACAAUAGAAAUAUUGGAAUAAAUAAACCUUUCUCAUAUAUUA